rnacentral:lncRNA from 1 species
GUAAACUGUGCUUCUAACAGAGCAGAGCACGUGGGUUCGUGGCUGAGAGCUGACUCGUCCCAGCUCCCUUUCCUGAUCAUUUACCUUUCUGUAACAUGGAAAGACAAAUAGACCCUUAAACCUGACUCAGAUCACCGCUGCCAACUUUUUCCUUUGUGCGUAAGUCAUUAUAUUAUUUCUCAGUUAUGCCUUCUUUAUCUUUUGAGAGGAAAAAGAAACCACCUUGCACUGUUUACAAGAACACAUUGUUCCAGGCUAGUACAGUUGCCCCUCUGAUGCCUUUUUUCUAGUUGGAACCAUGGGAGUUACAAGGUUGGUAUCACCUGGUUACCUUUUUUUAAUGCAAGAAACCCCACAACCUUAUUUUAUACCAUCAUCAUUUUCCAUAUGUAUGUAGUGUGUCUCUCAGAAAAUAAAUGUCAGAUUCCAGCUGCUACAAUCCAGGCCUUUAUUUGCACCCUCCCCUCCCCACCUCCCUGUCCCUGCUGCCCAGCCCUCAUUUCAAAGGAGAUGGUUGUCUUUUAUUAGAAAAUUGAAUGUUUUGUACCUUACAGAAAAGAUGAUAUGCCAUUUCUUAAAUAUAGUUAUGUAGAACAGUAACUUUUGAAAUACAUCUUUAUAAUUUUUCCAGGGAACUUUUUAAAAAAUCUGGUGAGAGGUUAGAGGUGAACUCUAGAGGCUAGAGCACCUGCCUAGCAAGUGCAAAGCUUUGAGUUCAAACCCCAGUACCACCACACACACAAAAAAAUUCUGACAGGUAACUCAGGGGCCAUUUUGUGUCCUGGAGAGGGUUCUUGGCUUUGUAGAGAGGUAAGUCUGGGGAGGAACACGCUGGAGGGAGAUGGUCAGAAAGAGGGCCUCCUGGGGAUCAUGGAAAAAGGAAGUCCUGUGCCCUAACAGUGAUCCUGAUCUAUAUUGGGUGUACUCUCUCUACCCAGCAGUUAAUGUCUAUGGUAUAGCCAGAAGAAAGUUUUAUGAACUUCCUGAUCUUGGAUUUUGCCUUGUGUAGAUUUCUGAGAUGGAACCUGUCGCUCUGUUCCACUUGGGUUUGGGAGGAGCGCAGGAGAGGAGCUGAAGGAAGAAUAGUUCGCAUCAUGCUUGAUCACUGCAGUGUAAGGUGGCCUAGAUUCUUUGGCAUUUUGAGAUGUGGUUUGUCCAUUGGGAGUGUAGAAGGCAUGGCAACACACGGCAUGCUGCACUGGGGUGCAAGCAGGUACUUCAGAUUUCUCAGAACACCUAGACCUGCCAGUAGGGGAGAAGACAGAUGGACUAUAAGCAGAUGGAGAUGUUACCAGAUGUUUAAGACUGCAAGAGAAUAACUGAGAAUUAUGUAAAAUUACUUACCAGGUACUUGAUUAAUGUUUGUUUAUCUUCCCCAUAAGGACAAAUGCCCUGUGUAAUAUCUCUAUCUCUGUACUGCCCACUCACCAAGCCCUUUAUGAAUAUUGAUUCAACAAAAAAAAUUUAUCUCUUCAUAUGUGUAAAUUUAGGGCCUGUUGCUUCAUUAAUAGUGAUUUUUGUGAAAAGAAAUGCUCAUAGUUCAGACUACUAGAGACCCUGAUUGAGGGAAUUAGGCCAAACAGGAAAGUCUUGUGCCCCCUGAAGGUAGAGUUGUCUGACAAAUAACCUGGGCCUUGCUAAAUAACUACUAGGUAUAUUUUUAAAUAGUGGGGUUAUUGGGUUGAAGUUCUGACUAGUGUGGAAACCUGUCCUCUCCUCUCAGGUCUGUAGAGCUGGUUAUUUUGCAGAUGCACCAGGACUGGAAAGGCUGUGACAUGUGGCCAAAGCUUGAAGCUGCUCUAUAGUGGGCAGUCUCAGUGAUUCCUGCUGCCAGUGCUUAGAAGGAUGAGACCUGUGCUGCCUGCUUCUCCAACCCUAGAGGGGGCAUUCCAAGCUGUGUAGCCUAAGCCAAUAGGUGAGAUGCCUAGAGGGCAGAUGCUCUGUUAAGCUCUAUGAGUACAAAGGUGAAGAACCAUGCCUGUCCUUGAAGGAGAACCAUUGUAGCCUUCCUGACUCAAGCAGGCAUUGUACAACCAGGCGAUAUUCCUGAUGUGGCCCAUAGCCUUCACUAGAGAAACUUUCCCAAACCAUACAUCUAUAAGCUCUAUGGCUUUGGCAAGUCACUUAAUGUCCCUUAACUUUUUUUCCUUCCUUCUUGGAGCAGAGAGACUAUCUGGGUAAGGGGCAGAUGAAAUAGCCUAUGGGACUGUCUUCUAACUGUGCAGUGGUUAACUCUUACAGUUUCAUAGAUGCUAUGCUUUUGGGAUGGAGCAUUGCUGAGUAUGGAAGACCUGAAUGAUAGCAUGCAUGUUUGUAUGAACUGGCCUGCUAAGUCAUUUUGAGUUUGUAUUUGAAAGUAAUGGGUGGGUUGUUACCCAUAUAUAAAGAAUUAGAUCCAGGCUCUAAAAGGUUGUUUGCUGUUCUUUAGCAAAAUACCAUUCUUCUGAAGUUUCAUACAAUCAUUCCACAAAAAUCUAAGCAUCUGUUUCGUCCCAGGCAUUUUGCUUAUAAUGGGUAUGCAGCAGCAGACAGAACACUUGCUUUCUUCUUCUUCCUUCUUCCUUCCUCUUGGCGGUACUGGGAUUUGAACUAGGGCUCACACUUGCUCUACCACUUGAGCCAUUCCGCCAGCCCAGCACUUGCUUUCUGUUCUCAUAGAACUGAUUAUUGGACAGAGAAUAUUGCAGGAAUAGACAAGUGUGAGGAUGGGCAUAGAGAGGUGAAGCAUUCGUAUAAACUGCUAUUUGUUGUAAUAUUUACAUGUUAAUCUGGGAAGGUCUUUCCAUGUAAAAGUAGUGAUUUAGUCUCUUGUCUAUAAAUAACUCCUUUCUUUGUAGACAGUGAGUUAGGGCAAGAAGUUAUAUCAUCAGGGAAGAGUGGUGUUUUACAAUAGAAAGUACAAAUGAAGAGGAUGCUAAGGAAAGAGUAUAUUUUAUAUAUGGAAUACACAUCUCAGUUUGUACAUGAAGUUGCUUAGGGAAAGUAGUUGUAAACGUGAGUGCUUUAAAGGAGCUACCAAAAUCCAGGAUAAACCAAUUAGUGAACAUCUUUAAAUAUAAACACUCAAAGCCUACAGCUCUGUUGUUCCAGCUAGACCUGCAAUGCUGCAUUAGAACUUUGUGUGAUGAAACAUUCUGUAUCUGCUGUGUUCGGUAUGGUAGCCAUUAGUUCACAAGUUGCUAUGGAGUUCUUGUGAGUGUAGCUAGUGCUACUGAGGAACUGAAUUUCAGGUUUUAUUUAAUUUUAACUAAUUUCAAUGUUAAUUGCAACAUGUGAUUGUAGCUACUAGGCAGCACAGGUCCGGACAUAAGGUUAACAAAGUACUUUCCUCCUAUGUGUUUCUUUGGUUAAGCGUAACAAUGACAUUUUUCCUGUUGUAUUUAGGGCUGUCAGAAAGGGUGUGCACUUUUUUAAAAAAUGGAACACAACCACUUAGACCAGUUGCCUAAUUUGCACACAUUUUUGGGAGCUGUUGAUGUUGCCUAUUGGUAAAUACUAAGUACUUAUAAUGACCUAAAAACUGCAAGACAAACAAGUUUCUGUAACUGAGUACCAAGGGGUUAAAGAACUGAGGGAAAUGGUGGCGACUCUGAUUCAUAGAUAUUCAAAAGCUUUUGUGACUGUGAAAAUAAGCUAGACUUUAAACAUUUUGAAAUAAAAUUGAAGUUCAUUUGAGUUGAAAUUUUUAG